UAGAGGCCAGAGUGAUGUAGGCUGUAGACCAACAAGUCCUCCGUCUGUAGGAGCAUAACAGUGGCUGUCAUGUGUGGUAAAUCCUCAACAUGUGGAAGCAAAUGGAGCUGGUCAUGGUGCUGAAGUUGGACCUGCAGUACCUCCACCUGAAGUUCCCGGGGAUGCUGAUCAUCUUCUCCUCCGUCGCCCACAGGCACCAGUGGAGGACUGCUAACCUGGGACAGUUAAAUAAAUUGAGUAAAAAAGUAUAUUUCAGACCCUUAAACCCACUAUCAGGAGCAAUAAAACUGCUGUAACUAACUACAGUAUACAAACGUUACAGGAACAGGCUCAUUAGCUUGGUCAUUAUAAAUGACAUGUGGCUCAUGUUUUCAUGUUUUCUCAUUUUUUUCAAUAUUAAAUACAAUUUGCUAUUUAAUAGUAUCUUAAAUAAAUGCAUGGAUGAAUAGCAUUUAUUUAUCCUGAAUGUUGCUAUGGCGAACACAGAACAAAUAGACAAAAGUGUUAUUAAUAACACAGGAAAUUAUGCAUAACUCUAGCACUGCACAAAUGGAGAUGCCAUAUGAAUAUGCCUGUCAAUAUAAAAAGUUAUGAAAUUAUUUGUAAAUUCUUAGUAAUAUCUGCCAAGUCAUAGUUAAUUGUCACAUACACGAUCCCUUUCUUAUUUUAAAAAAAAUCCAUAACACAGCUUAAACUCCAGUGAUAAGUUAAUGCUCAACAUGAAUUAACCAUGCUAUUAACAACGUUACCGUGGAUAAUACGUCCAUGUUUAUGCCGCAUAAUGCGGAAGUUAACCCGGAAGCCAGAACCCUUCUUGCUUUCUCAUGCGCCUAGCGAGCAACUCUGAUAGGAUUGAAUGGGCGCCAUUUUCGAUCCAGUAUCCAGCUCUAAUAAUACCAGAUUGUAUAAUACAUCAACUUCUCUCUUCACGAUAGAUGUAUUUUAAGACUAAUCAGAGGCGAUUGCUAGGCGGACCAGAACAAGUCGGCCAAUCAGCGGUUUUCUGCCAAGCUGACGUAUGUCGUCAUUGUCCGCGACGUCCCUCGUCAUUGGCCAUGUCCUUUGGGAGGAGCUCAGAGAGGCGGAGAAACGGAGUCGGAAAACAGAUUUAAACCAAGUCUGAAACAUUACCUCUGUUUGCCAGUACUGUGAGUAAACGCCGUUACCAGAGAGAUCUGGAUGCUAAAACAAACUCUGGAGCUGCUUUUUUGUCGAGCAUGAGUGAGACUGGAGGCUGAACACAUGUGGCACAAAGGUAAAGCAAACAGUUGGCGGCGGCUAGUGUUAGCAUGAACAUUGUCGGAGAGCAUUAGCAUUACCUUGUAAUGAUAUCGUUUAUAGAAGGUAUGCAGGUGACGUCAAGCUAGCAUUAGCUUCGAGCGUUAGCACUAGCCUUAUAAUUUUAUUAUGUAGUUGGGGCUUCAUUUCCUCUUUAUUGUCGUUUUUAUCUGCAUGGGUUAACGUUUGUUUGUGUUUCUGUGACUAAAGCAUCCCUGAUAUGAGUUGUGGAGGGUAGUAACUGCUUCAUAGUCAGUUUAUCUGUUUACACCUCCAUUUCCAUCUCUUUAUAAUUACUUUGCAUACAUUGUACUGCUUCUUUUUGUGCUCUAUCUUGGUCAUUUUAAGCCAGUUUAUGGUGCUCGAUGUGAUCAUUUUGUGUCUGUUUGUGGUUGUUUUGCAUUCUUAUUGUGUCUGUGUAGUUUUGUGUGUUCCAGGCAAUGUUCCCUCUAAGCUGCGCGCCUGCGCAAUCGCGCACCGCUCCCGCUUUCUCCGCGCACGGCAAAGCUAUGUAGCGCAUAAAAUUACAGUGUGUGACAGUGUGCACGUCUGAUGUUCCUCACAGUGGUCCAAGGAAUUCUCAGGGAGUUUGUGUGUAUGCUCAGACACAUGAAAAAUUAGGGGGAACAUUGGUUCCAGGUCAUUUAACAUUUCUUUGUGGCCAUUUUGUGUUUCAGUGUGGCAGCUAAGUAUCUCAUUGUGAUCGUGUUUCUACCCAGUUUGUUGUCUCUGUCGUUUUGAGUGUCUUUGUAGCUUUGUGGUAGCACUCUGUCCAUACCAUCCACUGAUCCCCCAUUGUGUAUAUUAUUGCUUAGAAAUUUGUUUGUGGUGACUUGAAACUUUAUUGAGCUCAGUUUUGUGUAAAUUGAUUUUAACUCUGUGCUCCUCCACAAGGUUUAAGCCUCAAGAGUAGGUCACAAUGUAUGAGCUGAGAAUACUGUUAAAAAAUUGCUUUUCUCUCUUAGAUCAGUAAAGUCAAGGUUCUAGUGUUUAGUUUUCAGUGUUGUAUUCUUCUACACUGUUCAGGUUUUGGAAGUGAACUAUUCUUUAUUAAUGACGUUAUUUGUUAAGUCUUGUACUUGUGUUUUCCAGGUUUACUGGUUCAGCUGCUGCAGCCUGGUCAGUAACCCCAGCUCUCACCCUACAAAUUAAACAGGUGUCACCACUUCACUAUCACAGAGUCUUUGUAUAAUGAAGAAGUUCUUUGAGACCAGGAUUGAGAACUCCAGGUGUCACCACUUCAUCCACAACAUCAUCCAUGAUCGCAGACACGUCGUCCAUGAUUGGAGAGACAUUGAGGAAGAGGGAGACAUUGUCCACAGUCAGACACAUUGUCCCUGAUCGCAGAGACCUUGUCAAAGACGAGAGAGAUGUUGUCCAUGAUGUCGGAAGAUAUUAUUGGUCCCCGAUAAGUCAGCAUCCCCGGCGUUCAUUGAGACAUUGUCGAUGAUCACAGAGACACCAUCUAGGAUCUCAGAGACAUCGUCCACGACCACUAAGACAUUGCCCAUAAUUGCAGAGACUUUGUCCAUAAUCACAGAGACAUUGUCCGCGAUUACAGAGAGUCUUCGUACAAUGAAGAAGUUCUUUAAGACCAGGACAGAGGCCUCCAGGUGUCACCACUUCAUCCACGACACAAUCACAGAGACAUCGUCCAUGAUCACAGAGACUUCGUCCAAACCUUGGUUUCACCAUGAAGAAGUUCUUUGAGACGAGGACUGAGCCCUCCAGGUGUCACCACUUCAUCCACGACAUCAUCCACAAUUGCCAAGACGUCCACGAUCAGAGACAUUGUCCACGAUUGGAGAGACAUAGUCAAAAAUCACAGUGACCGAGUUCCCCGAUUUGAAAGCAUCGUCCACAAUCAGAGUGAGAUGAUCAUAGAGACAUUGUCCAUAAUCUUAGAAACACUGUCUGCGAUCACAGAGAUGUAGUCCAUCGCUGAGGUGUUGUCCAUGAUCACAUCUUCAUACAAUUAAGAAGUUCUUUGAGACCAGGACAGAGGUCUCCAGGUAAUUCACAAACAGCUUCACAUCAACUGUCCAACACAGAGCACUGACAUUAAAUUGUUUAUGGUCAGUAUUCAGUAUAUCAGAAAAUUGUAACUUUUUUUUUUAACCAUUUUUAAUGCUUGACUAUAUGACAUGUUUUGGCCGUUUUUGACGCCUUACCAUACUAUGACCUUUGUAUGAGCAUUUUUGAUGCCUUACCUGUCAUGCGGCUUCAGACAAAGGAACUGUCUUAAAGCAGCCAUCUUACCUUUGCUUUCCACAGAUACCCAUAUUCACACAGUCACACAACAGUGUUUGUGGGUUAGGUUAGAUUUUAUCAAUUAAUUUAAAUGUUUUUGCUAUUUCAAACAGUGCAAUAUCAGCACUCAAAUCCAAUCUAUUACUGAGUACAUAGUCCUGUUAUAUUGUUGUUAAUAAUAUUUAUAAUAUUGUUAUAUUAGUAUCUUUUUUUUAUAUCUUGACUUGUUUGUAUCAUGCCCGUUUCUAUUUUACUCAAAUAAAUAAU